GACGAACGCUGGCGGCGUGCUUAACACAUGCAAGUCGAACGGAAAGGCCCUGCUUUUGUGGGGUGCUCGAGUGGCGAACGGGUGAGUAACACGUGAGUAACCUGCCCUUGACUUUGGGAUAACUUCAGGAAACUGGGGCUAAUACCGGAUAGGAGCUCCUGCUGCAUGGUGGGGGUUGGAAAGUUUCGGCGGUUGGGGAUGGACUCGCGGCUUAUCAGCUUGUUGGUGGGGUAGUGGCUUACCAAGGCUUUGACGGGUAGCCGGCCUGAGAGGGUGACCGGCCACAUUGGGACUGAGAUACGGCCCGGACUCCUACGGGAGGCAGAAGUGGGGAAUAUUGCACAAUGGGCGGAAGCCUGAUGCAGCAACGCCGCGUGCGGGAUGACGGCCUUCGUGUUGUAAACCGCUUUCGCCUGUGACGAAGCGUGAGUGACGGUAAUGUGUAAAGAAGCACCGGCUAACUACGUG
rnacentral:rRNA from 1 species